AAUAGCAAUAAUUGACGACAGAAUAUGAAACUGAAAAUAAACAAGGUGUCAAUGACUUGCUACAAUUUUUUUAAUUGAUAGUGUUACUUAUACUUAUUUAUUUAUUAGCUUAUUUAAAUAGAUAAACAAAAAGAAUCUUAAACUUUCCCUUGCAAUAAAAAUACACGCUUGUGUAUGCACGGCAUUAACGAGCGUUAAUACAAACAAACUAUAGAUUUAUGUUUACAAUAAUCUAAUAUUGAAUAAAAUCUAAAAUUGCUACUGCACUGUUUGUACAAUAAAUAAGUGAGAGUAUGAUUUUUCCUUAAGAUCAGGAAGAUGGUGAUUUAGAGGAGGGAUUGUAAUAUUAUUAUAUUAUUUAAACCCGGAAAUUUCGUGUUGUCUAUACAUUUUACUACCGGCAUUAUCCUUACAUUUAUAAGCCAGCCUAAGUGAGAUUAGUUAUAGUCUUCAUUGAGUGUCCGUGCGAUAAGUUUGACCAGAAAAUAUGAAAAUCUUUUUGCUUCACCUUUUUUUCUUCUUCAUAAUUAUUGCUACUGUAUCUUCAUUACCAAUUCCGGAUGAUGAUCAUCAGUAAUGUUCAUAUUAAAAUUCACGUACCCAAACACAUCCACACACACCAUCACACAUUGCUUAAAAAAAUUUACGUACCUGUGAAGAAAGAACACCAUGAAGAACCUCAAAUUCAUGAAGUACACGAAGAACAUGAAGAAGGAAAAAAAUACUUCGAUGACGCAUGGUAGUGAUAAAUAAAAAAAUUAUAGUAUUAAUU